GUAUCAGCCGUUUUGUUUUGACCAUGGUAAUUUGGGCAUCCUAUCAAACAUCCACGUGAAGAUGAUGCCUGUGACAACUGGAUAUAGAAACUCUGAGAGUCAAAGCAAAGGUCAGAGCUAGAGACACGGGUUUGGGAGUCGUUGGUGUGCAGAUUAUAUUGAAGACCUUACGAUUGGAUGAGAUCAUACACAGGAAAAAAUAUUGCUUGGGAUUAGAAGGCAGCUCGGGAAUGUGUCCCAAGAGCCUCCAGCAUUUACAGGUCUACCAGGGAGGAAGAGCCAGAGGAGCCAAAAGGAAGAGCCAGAGAGUUGGGAGAAAAACCAGGCGUAUGUGGCAUCAUGGAAGUCAAGGAGCUUUCAGAGCACAUUUUUUGCUCUAGUUUGUAUCCCUUAGACCAGGGAUCCUCAGCCUCCCUAGGGGACCACACAGUAGGAUGUGAGCAGCGGAUGGGACCAUCUCCUUGCAGGAAAACAAGCUCAGG